CCUACGGGAGGCAGCAGUGGGGAAUAUUGCACAAUGGGGGGAACCUUGAUGCAGCGACGCCGCGUGGGUGAAGAAGUACUCCGGUAUGUAAAGCCCUAUCAGCAGGGAAGAAAAUGACGGUACCUGACCAAGAAGCCCCGGCUAACUACGUGCCAGCAGCCGCGGUAAUACGGAGGAUGCGAGCGUUAUCCGGAUUUAUUGGGUUUAAAGGGUGCGUAGGCGGAUUUUUAAGUCAGCGGUAAAAUGUCCGGGCUCAACCCGGGCCGGCCGUUGAAACUGGGGAUCUUGAGUGGGCGAGAGGUAUGCGGAAUGCGUGGUGUAGCGGUGAAAUGCAUAGAUAUUAGGAAGAACUCCGAUGGCGAAGGCAGCAUACUGGAGGCCGACUGACGUUGAGGCACGAAAGCGUGGGGAUCGAACAGGAUUAGAUACCCGAGUAGUC
rnacentral:rRNA from 1 species